GACAGAGGUUGCAAACGUUGUUCGGAAUCACUGGGCAUAAAGCGCACGUAGGCGGUCUGUUAAGUCAGGUGUGAAAGCCCCCGGCUCAACCGGGGAACAGCAUUUGAUACUGGCAGACUCGAGGAUGGUAGGGGUGAGUGGAACUCCAGGUGGAGCGGUGAAAUGCGUAGAUAUCUGGAGGAACACCGGUGGCGAAAGCGGCUCACUGGACCAUAACUGACGCUGAGGUGCGAAAGCUAGGGUAGCAAACGGGAUUAGAAACCCCCGUAGUCC
rnacentral:rRNA from 1 species